GGGUAGCUCUCCACUGCUGGGUAGGGAAGAUGCUGCGUCCAGGUUGGCGGUGGCUUUGCCUCGGACUGUGCAGCCUCCUGCUGGGACAGGCGGAGGCCCCGAGCCCCGUGGAGCCGCCGGAGCGGAGCCGGCCGUAUGCGGUGCUGCGUGGGCAGAACCUGGCGUUGAUGGGAACUAUUUUCAGCAUCCUGCUGGUGACCGUGAUCCUUAUGGCAUUUUGCGUCUACAAGCCCAUUCGGCGCCGGUGAUGGCCAAGCCAGCCCUCCCACGAGCAUUUGGGAGCAGAAUAAGUCAUGUUGCACAUGGGUCAGUGGAGAAGGUGGAAUCAGAACUUAACUGCUUGGAAACGAUCAUCGGUCUGGACAGUUGGUAAAUGCUGAAUGAUUUAGAAAAAACAUCUACCCAUUAUCUUAUCCUAACACUGUAAUGCAAGUAUUUGGCCACUUGAGCCUGCUUCUCAGCGUUUCUUUUUAUAUCCGGCUGUACCUGUUGAAAGUAAGACCUGAAGCUCCAAGGUUCAGUGUAAAGAUGGAGUGUUCACGAGAAAGAAAACAUGACUUUGUGAGUGAUGUAAAAGCCACACUGGAAAGGAAUAAUCAUUAAUGCUUGAAAAUAUUAAGAAGAGUAAGACUUAACAUGUAGACAUUCCCUGCUUAAGAACCAUUUGGUCACAACGGGUUAAGAAUCCCAAAUGUUUUUAAUUAUCCCGAGUUGGCCUAGAUGCCCCGUUUGCAAAGCAGUGUCAGCUGUGGGGAACAUAGGCCGCCACUCCUCACUCUGCACGGAGCUCUGCACUCAGAUGCCCCCACUGAAGUUGGGGUCACACCAGCUAGGCCUGUGACCACGGGCACCCUUGGGCUGGGAGGCACUGGGGGUGGCUGGAAGUGUUAGCACUUGGCCCAUCUGAAAAAGAACUGGUCCCAUUCAAACAUGUUGAUCUCCUUGUCCUGCACUUAAGUCUUCCCAGCCCUUGGCCUAGAAGUCAGGGCAGCUUUUCUGAUUCAGAAUUGAAGAGACUCAGCAGGACCUCUUUUCCGCCCUGGGUGGGGUGGGGCUACAGAAGUGCGUGUUCACUGUGGCGGGUGGGUGUGUGUUUACACAAUUUAAUUUCAACUUUGAAAAUGCUGCUAUUCAUUUGCACUGUUGGUGAACUGGAAUUUUCCCCCAUGGAAAUGAUACUUUCGUACAUACAGUAUUUAUUUUAUUUUAAGGGUGCUAGGUUUAACUUUGUUGUUAAAUUAAAAUGCUUAUCUUGUUUGUGCUCCAUUCAAGCACAGCACUGAUUUUUUUUUUUUUAACAACCGGCACUUAAUGUGAAAUAACUGAUGUGGGAUACGGUAACUGACUUAAGGAUUUUGUUUGUAACCCUAACAUUGAGCCACUGAAACGUGCUUUUGAGCAAAAUGUCCAUUAAAAUGAAAGU
rnacentral:lncRNA from 1 species